UAAAAAGUAAAGUUAGAAAGGAGGUGACAGCAGCAAUGAGUCCCAUGGAUUGACUGCAGUGUCUGAACCAUCUUGCUUUGAUUUGAUUUGGCCUGGAGCAUCCAACUGGUUUAUUUGAAACCCCCCAGCUGCUGACAGACAGGGAUGGGGAGCAGUUCUUCUCUCAUCUGCAGCUCAUUGUGACUCACGAUUUUACAGACCUCUCCCAUACUUCUUCCUUAUUCCAGUUACUCCUCAUACAGAAGCAGUCUAUUUCUUCAAAUCACCUUUUUCCUUCCUCCUGAACAUAUUCCACAUCCACUACAACUGGAGAAGGGUUAUCCAUGCACAGGCUAUAAACCCACCCUGUCAGCCUGGAACCUUGAACUGUCCUGUCCUACAGCUCACCAGGAUAACAGAGGGAAGAAUUGUGACUUUCCACAGUACUCUGCACCAAAGCAACUGGAAACCGCGAGGAGCGCGGUUCAGCGGUCGGACAGAGGGGCCCUGUCUGGGCUGGGACUGCAGUUCAUCCCAAGAGCAGACACAAAGCAGCAGGCUGUCACGAGGAGAGGUCCUUCACCAAGACGUUUCGUGUCAAAUAACCCCUGGACCCCACGCUGUCGGCAGACGCUGCAGCUCUCUGAACGCUUAUGUUUGACAUAUGCACUUCAUACAAUGCCUGUGCUGUGCUCUAGAUUUGAAACAUCCACUGGAUUGGCACGGAGAAUUCCUGGAGCAGGAAAGGGGAGCUGAGGGGAAGGGAGGUGUCACUGUGAAGCUAUAUGACUCCAGUCUUAGCCAUCAUUGACGAGCCAGACUGGACCACUUGGGACUCGAAAUGCCAGCCACAAACUGGGAGGAAAAAGUGCUGUAAUUCCUCUGCAGUGUUACCCAGAAAGUGAAGCUCCACCCGUGUGAGUCACCAAACCCAAAAGGGCUGAUGUAUUUCCUCAUGCCUAUGUAACGCUGAAUGAUGAAAUAAAAAUGAG
ensembl:lncRNA